rnacentral:rRNA from 1 species
AACGAACGCUGGCGGCAUGCCUAACACAUGCAAGUCGAACGAGACCUUCGGGUCUAGUGGCGCACGGGUACGUAACGCGUGGGAAUCUGCCCUUGGGUUCGGAAUAACAGUUGGAAACGACUGCUAAUACAGGAUGAUGAAGUAAGACCAAAGAUUUAUCGCCCAGGGUUGAGCCAGCGUAGGAUUAGCUAGUGGGUGGGGUAAAGGCCUACCAAGGCGACGAUCCUUAGCUGGUCUGAGAGGAUGAUCAGCCUCACUGGGACUGAGACACUGCCCAGACUCCUACGGGAGGCAGCAGUGGGGAAUAUUGGACAAUGGGCGGAAGCCUGAUUCAGCAAUGCCUCGUGAGUGAUGAAGGCCUUAGGGUUGUAAAGCUCGUUUACCCGGGAUGAUAAGGACAGUACCGAGAGAAUAAGCCCCGGCUAACUCCGU